GCAUGGAAAAAUCCAUCUGGUUAAACUCUGGUGCAGGCAAUCAGUUGCUGCCUAUGGCUGUGCUGGAGCAGGAACUCAUCCAUGGAAGUCUAGAAGAAGCCCUGGAUGCAUCUAGACCUGAAAGAUCAACUGUCUUGCAUGCAAAAUGGAAAGGAAGAUGAAAGAUACUCAUCCUGAGCAUCAUUCCCUUCCUCAGCUUUACCAUGAAGCAACAGUAGGUUGGUGGCCUGGGAUCCUGCCUCUAACUUCCAUCUCCAAGUUUCACUUAAAAAGGAUAUUUCUAUAUAGUGUGUGCGUAUUUGCUUUGGGAGAAAAAUGUCUAAACUUGAUGUUAGCUGUGAAAAGAAGGUAAUGAAAAUAUAACAUGGCUUUGUGUACCACUGGAAAUCCUUGUAAUGUUUGGACCAACAUGGUGACUGUGAUGUAAGGGAGAAGAAAAACUAUAGGACUUGGAAAUGAAAGGCCAGUUCUCAAUUUAGAUGAGAUCUUUGAGGGCAGUACAGCAAUGUAACACCCUGGCCGUCACAUGUGUAUUCCUCUCCCCAUUUGGUGAAAGAUACCACCUACUCUGCCUAUCUUUGUAAAACCUGUUAUUGCUGCUACUACUGUUACCUCUUGUCACUGCUUGUCUGCCCUCUCUGCUCCA